CAAGGGAUUCUUUGGAGUAGACUGUAACGCCAAAUGUCCAUACCCGAUGUUUGGAGAGAAAUGCCGGUCUCUAUGUGCGUGUAAUAGCUCGAACUGUGAUCAUGUUAAUGGUUGUAUAUACUCUAUGAAAGAAUAUAAGACUGUUUUUAUGUUGUUUUUGGGCAACGAGACAUAUACAGCCAAAAGUGAUAAUAACCCAAAUGCCAUGCUGGAAAAUGCUGUGAAUAACAGCUCAUCGGAUUGUGUUACAGAGGAAACAAAAUUGUCGAGUGUUUAUUUUUUUAAAGUCAUAAUAAUCGGACUUUCAGUAGCGUCAAUAACCAUUUGUAUGAUAUAUAUUU